GCCAAGGAACCUUCGAGUUCCGCACGCACGCACGCCUUGCCUGGGAAGGAGGGUGGGCAGAGAGAGAGCCGGAAAUUGUGCGUGAGAGGUGACUGCCCAAGCGGGGUUGCAGGCCCAAGGUGCCUGGGAAGUGAGGCUAGCAUUGUGGAGAGCAGGACGGCCCGCGGGAUGAGCACUGAACUGGGAGCACGGAAUGCACACCAGAGAAAGAGCCACCUCCUGGGCCACUGGCCCCCAUGCCUGGAACAGGGAACAGGGAACUCUGAGCUGCAAGACAGUAAUUGACAAGAUUGCAGUGCAAAAACACUGCAAAACUGACCAAGCUUGAUCUGAGAACAAUCUAGAGAGCAAAGAAGAAGGAAAAAAGAAAUUGUUUAUUUUAGAAUAUAAAUUGGUUUUUAAAUUGCAUCAAGUUGUCAAAAGCUACCUGGAAGUGGUCAUCAAAUCUCUCACUAAUUUUUCCCCCAACCCUUAAAGCCAUUUUAUUCCCAAAAUAAAUGCAAAAAAAUGUGUCUUA